rnacentral:rRNA from 1 species
GACGAACGCUGGCGGCGUGCUUAACACAUGCAAGUCGAACGGAAAGGCCCUGCUUUUGUGGGGUGCUCGAGUGGCGAACGGGUGAGUAACACGUGAGUAACCUGCCCUUGACUUUGGGAUAACUUCAGGAAACUGGGGCUAAUACCGGAUAGGAGCUCCUGCUGCAUGGUGGGGGUUGGAAAGUUUCGGCGGUUGGGGAUGGACUCGCGGCUUAUCAGCUUGUUGGUGGGGUAGUGGCUUACCAAGGCUUUGACGGGUAGCCGGCCUGAGAGGGUGACCGGCCACAUUGGGACUGAGAUACGGCCCAGACUCCUACGGGAGGCAGCAGUGGGGAAUAUUGCAAAAUGGGCGGAAGCCUGAUGCAGAAACGCCGCGUGCGGGAUGACGGCCUUCGGGUUGUAAACCGCUUUCGCCUGUGACGAAGCGUGAGUGACGGUAAUGGGUAAAGAAGCACCGGCUAACUACGU